rnacentral:rRNA from 1 species
CAGGACGAACGCUGGCGGCGUGCCUAAUACAUGCAAGUCGAACGGUCUUUCUAUGGAAGCUUGCUUCACUGAGAAGAUAGUGGCGAACGGGUGAGUAACACGUGGGUAACCUGCCCAUAAGAGGGGGGAUAACAUCCGGAAACGGGUGCUAAUACCGCAUAGUUUUCUUGAUCGCAUGAUUGAGAAAGGAAAGACGGCCUUUGUGCUGUCGCUUAUGGAUGGACCCGCGGCGUAUUAGUUAGUUGGUGAGGUAACGGCUCACCAAGACGAUGAUACGUAGCCGACCUGAGAGGGUGAUCGGCCACAUUGGGACUGAGACACGGCCCAAACUCCUACGGGAGGCAGCAGUAGGGAAUCUUCCGCAAUGGACGAAAGUCUGACGGAGCAACGCCGCGUGAGUGAAAGAAGGUUUUCGGAUCGUAAAACUCUGUUGUCAGAGAAGAACAAGUUGGAGAGUAACUGCUCCAGCCUCGACGGUAUCCGACCAGAAAGCCACGGCUAACUACGUGCCAGCCGCUGC